rnacentral:rRNA from 1 species
UACGUAGGGUGCGAGCGUUGUCCGGAAUUAUUGGGCGUAAAGAGCUUGUAGGCGGUUUGUCGCGUCUGCUGUGAAAUCUCAAGGCUCAACCUUGAGCUUGCAGUGGGUACGGGCAGACUAGAGUGCGGUAGGGGUGACUGGAAUUCCUGGUGUAGCGGUGGAAUGCGCAGAUAUCAGGAGGAACACCGAUGGCGAAGGCAGGUCACUGGGC